rnacentral:rRNA from 1 species
CAGUCGCCGCGGUAAUACGAAGGGUGCAAGCGUUAAUCGGAAUUACUGGGCGUAAAGCGUGCGUAGGCGGUGAGUUAAGUCUGCUGUGAAAUCCCCGGGCUCAACCUGGGAAUGGCAGUGGAUACUGGCUCGCUAGAGUGUGGUAGAGGAUAGUGGAAUUUCCGGUGUAGCAGUGAAAUGCGUAGAGAUCGGAAGGAACAUCUGUGGCGAAGGCGACUAUCUGGGCCAACACUGACACUGAGGCACGAAAGCGUGGGGAGCAAACAGGAUUAGAUACCCCCGUAGUCCCUGUCUCUUAUAC